rnacentral:rRNA from 1 species
AUUGAACGCUGGCGGCAGGCCUAACACAUGCAAGUCGAACGAGUGGCGGACGGGUGAGUAAUGUCUGGGAAACUGCCUGAUGGAGGGGGAUAACUACUGGAAACGGUAGCUAAUACCGCAUACUAUCGGAUGUGCCCAUAUGGGAUUAGCUAGUAGGUGGGGUAACGGCUCACCUAGGCGACGAUCCCUAGCUGGUCUGAGAGGAUGACCAUCCACACUGGAACUGAGACACGGCCCAGACUCCUACGGGAGGCAGCAGUGGGGAAUAUUGCACAAUGGGCGCAAGCCUGAUGCAGCCAUGCCGCGUGUAUGAAGAAGGCCUUCGGGUUGUAAAGUACGUUCAGCGGGGAGGCGUUACCCGCAGAAGAAGCACCGGCUAACUCCGUGCCAGCAGCCGCGGUAAUUC